CCUACGGGUGGCUGCAGUAAGGAAUAUUGGUCAAUGGACGAAAGUCUGAACCAGCCAUCCCGCGUGCAGGAUGAAAGCCCUAUGGGUUGUAAACUGCUUUUAGCAGAGAAGAAAAGCUUUCAUUAAUGAGAGUCUGACGGUAUCUGCAGAAUAAGCACCGGCUAACUCCGUGCCAGCAGCCGCGGUAAUCCGGAGGGUGCGAGAAUUACCCGGAAUUACUGGUUUGAAAGUGGAGGAUUACGUCGGUGGUGAAAUCUUGUCGCUUAACGAUAAAAUGGCCAAUGAUACUGGUACUCUUGAAUUGGGUUGAGGUUAGCGGAAUGUGACAUGUAGCGGUGAAAUGCAUAGAUAUGUCAUGGAACACCAAUUGCGAAGGCAGCUAACUGGGCCUUGAUUGACGCUGAGGCACGAAAGCGUGGGUAGCGAACAGGAUUAGAUACCCCUGUAGUC
rnacentral:rRNA from 1 species